rnacentral:lncRNA from 1 species
AAUAAUCGAGAAAUCGUUCGACUUUUCAUUUCCUGUCCAAUCGUCGCAUUUUCAAAGAGAACUGAAGUAUACUUCACGUUAUUGUACUUAAUGUUCAAUAUCAGUAUAAACAGGUUAUAUCGCGAAAGUAAUUGGAUCGUGCAUACCAUUUUCUCCAUGUUUUAACCGACUUUCCGCAGAAUAUCAGCGAUCACGCAUUAUCGAUCUUAUAAUGAUCUGUUUCGCGACAUAGAUGUUAAAGAGAAAGCGAUAUGCCGUGAUGUGCACGAUAUCUUACCAAACGUUCUUCAUGGAGUAGUUUUGUAUUGAAUCAUGGGUUGAACUCUACACUAAUUUAUUUCCAAGGCCAGGAGAUAUUUAUAAAACACACGGAAGAUAUCAAAUAUGGUUACAAACAUAUAACUAAUCAUCAUUACAGGCAUAUCAAAAUCCUUGAAGAUAUCCUUGCUGGAUAUCCUUGGAAUUACACUUCGCUUUGUAAGUAUUUUGGAGACCACUCCUUGCCAUUGCUUAUUUUUGCUACCUGAAAUAAUAUACCUUGAUCAUGA